CCUACGGGUGGCAGCAGUGAGGAAUAUUGGUCAAUGGACGAGAGUCUGAACCAGCCAAGUAGCGUGAAGGAUGACUGCCCUAUGGGUUGUAAACUUCUUUUAUAUGGGAAUAAAGUUUUCCAUGUGUACUGUUUUGUAUGUACCAUAUGAAUAAGGAUCGGCUAACUCCGUGCCAGCAGCCGCGGUAAUACGGAGGAUCCGAGCGUUAUCCGGAUUUAUUGGGUUUAAAGGGAGCGUAGGUGGAUGCUUAAGUCAGUUGUGAAAGUUUGCGGCUCAACCGUAAAAUUGCAGUUGAUACUGGCAGUCGUGAGUACAGCAGAGGUGGGCGGAAUUCGUGGUGUAGCGGUGAAAUGCUUAGAUAUCACGAAGAACUCCGAUUGCGAAGGCAGCUUACUGGACUGCAACUGACACUGAGGCUCGAAAGUGUGGGUAUCAAACAGGAUUAGAUACCCGGGUAGUC
rnacentral:rRNA from 1 species